GUCUAUGGCCAUUCCACCCUAAAGUCGCCGGGUCUCGGCUGAUCUCGGAAGCUAAACAGAGUUGGGCUUGGGAUUUUAAGAUGGGAGAAAACAGGAGACCAGAGAGC
ensembl:rRNA 5S_rRNA 5S ribosomal RNA